rnacentral:rRNA from 1 species
UACGUAGGGUGCGAGCGUUAAUCGGAAUUACUGGGCGUAAAGCGUGCGCAGGCGGUUUGGUAAGACAGAUGUGAAAUCCCCGGGCUUAACCUGGGAACUGCAUUUGUGACUGCCAGACUAGAGUGUAGCAGAGGGGGGUAGAAUUCCACGUGUAGCAGUGAAAUGCGUAGAGAUGUGGAGGAAUACCGAUGGCGAAGGCAGCCCCCUGGGCUAACACUGACGCUCAUGCACGAAAGCGUGGGGAGCAAACAGGAUUAGAUACCCUGGUAGUCCACGCCCUAAACGAUGUCAACUAGGUGUUGGGGAAGGAGACUUCUUUAGUACCGCAGCUAACGCGUGAAGUUGACCGCCUGGGGAGUACGGUCGCAAGAUUAAAACCCAAAGGAAUUGACGGGGACCCGCACAAGCGGUGGAUUAUGUGGAUUAAUUCGAUGCAACGCGAAAAACCUUACCUACCCUUGACAUGUCAGGAAGAUUCCAGAGAUGGGAUUGUGCCCGAAAGGGAACCUGAACACAGGUGCUGCAUGGCUGUCGUCAGCUUGUGUCGUGAGAUGUUGGGUUAAGUCCCGCAACGAGCGCAACCCUUGUCAUUAAUUGCCAUCAUUUAGUUGGGCACUUUAAUGAGACUGCCGGUGAUAAACCGGUGGAAGGUGGGGAUGACGUCAAGUCCUCAUGGCCCUUAUGGGUAGGGCUUCACACGUAAUACAAUGGUCGGUACAGAGGGUUGCCAACCCGCGAGGGGGAGCUAAUCUCAGAAAGCCGAUCGUAGUCCGGAUCGGAGUCUGCAACUCGACUCCGUGAAGUCGGAAUCGCUAGUAAUCGCGGAUCAGCAUGUCGCGGUGAAUACGUUCCCGGGUCG